AGCCUUAGGGCCUGAAACAAAGAGCAUUGAAGUCAAUGGAAUUCCUUCCAUUGACUUCAAUGGCUUUUGGAUCAUGCCCUUAGACU
rnacentral:pre_miRNA from 1 species